rnacentral:rRNA from 1 species
GACGAACGCUGGCGGCGUGCCUAAUACAUGCAAGUAGAACGCUGAAGGAGGAGCUUGCUUCUCUGGAUGAGUUGCGAACGGGUGAGUAACGCGUAGGUAACCUGCCUGGUAGCGGGGGAUAACUAUUGGAAACGAUAGCUAAUACCGCAUAAUAGUAGAUGUUGCAUGACAUUUGCUUAAAAGGUGCAAUUGCAUCACUACCAGAUGGACCUGCGUUGUAUUAGCUAGUUGGUGGGGUAACGGCUCACCAAGGCGACGAUACAUAGCCGACCUGAGAGGGUGAGAGGCCACACUGGGACUGAGACACGGCCCAGACUCCUACGGGAGGCAGCAGUAGGGAAUCUUAGGCAAUGGACGGAAGUCUGACCGAGCAACGCCGCGUGAGUGAAGAAGGUUUUCGGAUCGUAAAGCUCUGUUGUAAGAGAAGAACGAGUGUGAGAGUGGAAAGUUCACACUGUGACGGUAUCUUACCAGAAAGGGACGGCUAACUACGUG